UCCCCGAGACACACACAGUGCGCUGUUUGAUCUUCGUUUAUCUCUGACGGACCAUCUGCAAAGCUCUAUCUAGAACCAUGUCUGGAGUCAAGGGAGGACAACAGAAGAAAUGCCCGGAACCCUGCCCGGAGCCAUGCCCUCCACCCCAGCAGCAAUGCCAGGAUCCUUGCAAGCCUGUGUGCCCAGAACCCGUGCAAAAGUGCCCACCACCACAAGAACCUUGCAAGCCAACCCCACAAUGCCCACAGGACCAGCAGGAAAAGUGGGUGAAGAAAUGAAAAUCCAGAAAUCAGAUUUAUUUACGUAAUUUCUGUUAAUGAAUGGAACUAACAUCACGUAAAAUGAAGAGAUUCGGAAUGGAACGUGUAUUCUAAAUAAAAAAUACUAAAUUUCA